AUUCACUUUAGCAAAAUAUAUACUAAAAUUGGAAAAAUACAGAGAAAAUCAGCAUAAUCUCUACAUAAGAAUGACACAAAAAUGUGUGAAGUAUUCAAAAGAAAU
ensembl:snRNA U6 U6 spliceosomal RNA